CAGUUGUAGCAGUCUGGCUGAUAUCACCUCCAGUCUAGCAGCACAGCAAGCAACAAGCUUGAACGCCGUGGGACCAACACGGUGUAUGUACGCAGAAAAUGCCCGGAAAGUGACUCGAGAGGUCGGCAGGACUGCCUGGACACCGGCGCUGUUUUCUGUGGAGGUUUUCUCACCGUCAAACCAGAGUCUCCUGCGCCGUCUCCGCAGCAUUAGGCCUCAUGGAGCUGGGGACUAGACGCCUGCUGUGUACCAGGGAGCUUGAUCCAUGCCUGGUUCCCAACAAGCAACCUUGAAGGGUGGGAACCUUAAUUACCCUUCAGUUCCUUUUUCCCAUCCCUCCCCCUAAAUUGCCCCUUGUAUCAUCUACCUGUGGCCUGCAACAUGAUAGGCAAGCUGAAACAGAACUUGCUCGUGGCCUGUCUGGUCAUCAGCUCGGUCACGGUCUUCUACCUGGGCCGCCACGCCAUGGAGUGCCACCACCGCAUCGAGGAGCGCAGCCAACCAGGCGGUAUCCUGCCUCUGUCAGCACUGGGAGGCAGCAUGCGGACCACUUUACGGACAGGCCAGAAUCUCAGCACGCCUUUUGUUUACAAUAAAGACAUGCCGCUCAUCUUUAUUGGUGGCGUGCCCCGCAGCGGGACCACACUAAUGCGAGCUAUGCUCGACGCACACCCGGAGGUGCGCUGCGGCGAAGAAACCCGUGUAAUACCGCGGAUCCUGGCCAUGAAGCAGAUGUGGAGCCGCUCAGGCAGAGAGAAGAUGCGUCUGGACGAGGCCGGCGUGACGGAUGAGGUGCUGGACGCCGCCAUGCAGGCCUUUCUGCUGGAAAUCAUCGUCAAACACGGCGAGCCAGCCAACUUCCUCUGCAACAAGGACCCUUUUGCGCUGAAGUCGCUCUCAUACCUGGCCAAGAUCUUUCCUCGUGCCAAGUUUAUAUUAAUGAUUCGUGAUGGACGAGCUUCAGUCCACUCUAUGAUCUCACGGAAAGUGACCAUUGCCGGCUUUGACCUUGGCAGCUACCGGGACUGCCUGACCAAGUGGAAUCGGGCCAUAGAGACCAUGUAUACUCAGUGCCUGGAGGCGGCUGAUAAGUGCCUGCCUGUGCACUACGAACAGUUGGUCCUCCAUCCUGAGAAAUGGAUGCGGACACUGCUGAAAUUCCUCGACAUUCCUUGGAAUGAUGCCGUCCUCCACCACGAGGAGCUCAUUGGGAAAGCUGGAGGGGUGUCCCUCUCUAAGGUGGAGAGGUCUACAGAUCAGGUCAUCAAACCUGUCAAUGUGGAGGCCUUGUCCAAGUGGGUGGGGAAGAUUCCAGCGGACGUGGUGAGGGACAUGGCUGUCGUGGCCCCCAUGUUGUCCAGACUGGGCUACGACCCCCAUGCCAAUCCCCCCAACUAUGGCCGGCCUGACCCCAAGGUCCUGGACAACACCAGACGGGUCUUUAAAGGUGAAUUUCAGCUACCAGAUUUCCUAAAAGAACAAUCACAGAUCCAGAAGUCUGCAGAGAAACCCCACCCCAGUUAGGAGGAGCAGGAGUGACAUCACUACCACACACAGGUACAAACUCACACAUGAACAGCAUGCAGGGAACGUAAUACUGUAACUGCAGCCAACAGCUUAAUGGUAGACAGAGUCGAGAGGUUUAAGAACAGUUGGAGCAGCAUUUCUAUAAUCCAAAAACUGCCUCAACAAUCCUCUCAGUACAGAUCAGAGAGAAGUGUUUUGUUUCUAUCAUUUAUGAGCGAUAAUGAAACGAAACACAAAACAAGACACAGUCCCAGUCAAAUACAAUAAAGUUAUAAAGUACAGUCCUGAGUUUUGAAUCACGCGUUCUGUCCAAUUUCAUGUUCAUGACCAGCACAUUUAUUAUCUCUGAUGUCAUCGUUCUGAAUCCCUGCAGUGAUAUUAUGUUCAGCGGCAUCUAUAACAACACUGCAGCCAGUUAUUAGUUAUCAGCUCUAAAUGACUUUAUAUACUGUUACCCUCAAAAACCACAAGAUUACAGACAAACACAUGCUGUAUUUUGAAGAUGCAGAUAUGAGUGUUCAUCAAAUAUUGUAUUUAUUUACUGACAUUCAUUUUUAAUAUGAACAGAUAAGAAACUUUUUUGAGGAGGAUCCCUAAAAUGAGUUAAAUACAGAAUUGUGAGUUAUGUGCAGAUGGGACAUUUCUUAUUGGUGGACAAACCGUGUGAUGGUGAUUCUAGCUGAAUGUUCAAACUUAAUUAAAGAAUAUGGUCUAAAAGUGGUAAGUAGUUUGAGAUAACUUUGGCUGGGAUUUGGUGAUGAUUAAAAAUUUAAUUGAACUUGAUAGUGGAAGCCAGAUUUUAAAAUG